AUCUUUUCAGUGUUCGGCACGAGAGAAUUUGAGUCUCUAAGAGGAUAAGAUCCAGAAGAUA
rnacentral:tRNA from 1 species